rnacentral:rRNA from 1 species
UACGGAGGGGGCUAGCGUUGUUCGGAAUUACUGGGCGUAAAGGGCGCGUAGGCGGCGCGAUAAGUUGGGCGUGAAAGGCCCGGGCUCAACCCGGGGACUGCGCUUGAUACUGUCGCGCUGUGAGUCCGGGAGAGGAUGGCGGAAUUCCCAGUGUAGAGGUGAAAUUCGUAGAUAUUGGGAAGAACACCAGUGGCGAAGGCGGCUUUCUGGUCUGUAACUGACGCUGAGGCGCGAAAGCGUGGGGAGCAAACAGG